CUGACUUACAAGGGAUUCCAUUACAGUUCUCUUUGCAAUGGCCUAAGGUAGAUCCACAACAAAAAGUGUUUGCUGGACAUUCGGUAUGGUUGUUGCACAAUUGUAAAGUUACACAAGGAUACAGGAUACAUGUACCAAGCACAGCGAAGAUUAACCAAAUCAAGGAUUUCGGAUUUACUGAGACCAUGCUUUGUAUAUAGUUUAGACGAAGCGCUAUCAAAUGUGUUUAUGGAUAUGACAUAUAGCAUCAUUUAAACAUCCUCACAACAC